CUCGUAGGUGGCCAACUAAGUCAUACGUGAAAUCCCUCAGCUUGACUGGGGAACUGCGCCUGAUACUGGUUGGCUUGAGUUUGGGAGAGGGACGCGGAAUUCCAGGUGUAGCGGUGAAAUGCGUAGAUAUCUGGAGGAACACCGGUGGCGAAGGCGGCGUCCUGGACCAAUACUGACACUGAGGAGCGAAAGCCAGGGAGCAAACG
rnacentral:rRNA from 1 species